ensembl:lncRNA
CAGAGAUUGCAGCAGAUUACCACACUUUUUAUUUGUUGACUAGCUGCAAGAAGAAAUAUCAUUUCCCUUUUUCUUUCCACUUUUAUGCAAGAGGGAAAAGUGAGAGAAGAAAUGAGUUCUGAAUGAUCUAGGUUAGGAUUCUGCCAAGACUACAAACACUGACACACGAUCAUUUGUUUCAGUUAUCAGAUGAAAUUCAGAAAGGGGGUCACACAGUUCAAAUACAGCCUUUAAAAUUAAAUCAGAAGGUUGUCCCCAUUUCAACACUUUCUGGGGAAAAUUCUGUUUUAUCCUGGUUGCAUGUUGAUUCAUCUUGUCUGCUAAAGCUGCUUCAUUUUUCUCUCUAGGGGCUUCUUCAUUCUGGAGAAAUGACUGCAGACUUUAGGCAUCUUCCCUUAUCUUUCUCUUUCGUCCUUGAAAUUCAUUCUUUGGCUCUGAUCUGUGGAUGGGCAAACUUAAUGGGCCUACCAGUAAGCAUCCUGGAUCACUUCCCCACCUGGUCCCUCUGAAUCUGGGAAUGAUUAUGGCAAUGAGGCUGGAACAACAUGUAUUAGAAGUGAACAGCAUCACUGAGAAUUUAGAGACUGUGUCUAGUUUGGAAGAACCCAAGGGAACUUCACAAAAAGUAAUCAGAAGCAACCACUGAAACUACACAAUGAAGAUAUUGGAGCUACCAUUAUGCUGGGGCCCUUGAAUGGAACAGAGUAUUCUUCCCUUUCUAUCAACAACCUGUCCCAUUCCAACAAUUAAUGAUUGAAUAUAUGAAUGGGAAGUAUGCUUCCAUUUCACAAGCCACGGAUACUUUGGAAUUUAUUAGUUGUACAGAGGGAAUUUUGAAUGUAGCCAAUACAAUUGAACUUACACUACUUUCAAAAUAAAUCACCUCUUUUAAAACAAACAAAUGGAAAGCAUUAUUUUCUUUAGAACUUUAAAGAAUGUCUUAUUUUUCCUUUCAUGAAUCUUGACACAGGUACACAUCUAUGACAAGCAAAAGGUUGUGUUUUGCUUUAAAAGUGUUAAAUUUUGUUUUUGUUUAUGAUAAGUGCCUAGAACAUAUUUUUAACAGUCUAAACAUAAUUUUAUGUCUAUAGAAAAUGAGGUCAUGCAGAAAUAGGUACUCUGCUCCAUCCAUGAUGAUUAAAAAAAAAACCCUUAGCAGGGUUAGACACAGAAUAAAUCUCAUGCACUCUUAAGUGACUACAUUUAUCCCCAGGAUCUUUCUGGUAUUUCAAUUAAACCAACUGAUUUCUCCAGGUUGAUAAAACUGAAAUUUAGGAUAACAGUUCCCCUUUUCACUUUUUUUCUUAUGAAAGGUGAAUAAUAACAUUUUCAAUGCCCUAUUUUUAACUGGACAAAAAUGUUUACACCUGUCUGGAGAGGUGAAGCCCCUCCUCAACUCUACUUGGGUUCAAGUGCCUGCACCAGUACUCACCAUCUUUUUCCUCCUUUGCUGAGGUCACCUUGAUCCCACUGCCACAGCUCUACUGGUAGUUCCACUUCCGUCUCCUUUUAUCCUCACUCAAAAUUUCUCAGGCAUGAUUUACCUUCAUAUUUGUGGAUUUUCUAAAGGAAAUUUUCUAAACACAGACUACUCCUUCUAACAUGCCAGAAUCUUUGGAAUUUAGUACACCUCUUUCACUUGAGUUACUC